rnacentral:rRNA from 1 species
AACGUAGGACACAAGCGUUAUCCGGAGUUACUGGGCGUAAAGGGCGCGUAGGCGGCCUUCUAAGUCAGACGUGAAAUCCCCCGGCUUAACCUGGGAACUGCGUCUGAUACUGGGAGGCUAGAGUGCGGGAGAGGGAUGCGGAAUUCCAGGUGUAGCGGUGAAAUGCGUAGAUAUCUGGAGGAACACCGGUGGCGAAGGCGGCAUCCUGGACCGACACUGACGCUGAGGCGCGAAAGCUAGGGUAGCAAACGGG